AGGAGAGGAGAGCAGGAGGAGGAAUGAGAGAAAGGUGUCACAGAGCGAGAAGAAGAGAGGAGGGGUGGUACCAUCGUGACUGAUGGAGAGAGGGAUUCAAGCCUCAUCUCACACUGGAAGAAGAAACCAGAUGAAACCAAAAACCAGAAAGAGAGAAACAGAACUGACACUGCGGACAGCAGCUGUGCCGGCACACUAAAGACUCCUCAUGUGGUGUGAGCGCGUGCAUGUGUGUGCGCGUGUAUCUGUGCACACGUCUCUGUCUUUCCUGAAAUUUUCUCUCUCUCUUUCUCUCCAUCCCUCUCCAUACCUUCCACCCAGAACAGUAAGAGUUUAUGUGCUGUUUGACUCUGUAUAUCCACCAGCACAUGGCCUCUUACGGUGCAGGGUGAUAGGGCACUGUUAUGCAGAGGUGUCUGUCCCUCUGUCUGUCCACCAAGGCUGCCCCCAUGUGUCUGUCCCUCUGUCCCUCUGUCCGUCUGUCCAUUUGUCUGUUUAUGUCUACCCUGGUUACACCUCUACACCAUCUACAUAAAUCAAACAUCUCCUCCUAACUGCACCAACACACAACACUCCUCAGCAUGCUUCUCAGAUGUAUGCUACAUUCUCGGAGGUAUGAAUAUGCAAGCGGUUAUUACUGGGUUCUGAAUGAAUAAUUUAAUACCAUUCUGAGCACUCAUGGAGGGGUGGUGAAUGCAGGGUCACCAAAUUCCAACAGUUACAUUGUAAACACAGUGUUCUUUUUAAAUGAUUUAUUCUGCUGCAGUUAAAACAAUAUUUAAAGCGUGAAAGCGCUCCCCUAUUUAGUCCACUGUAGUACACCACUGUUACUGUGGCACACUUAAACCAACAAAAUAACAAACAACAAAAAAACAAUUUUCACAUUAUUAAAUAUUACAUAGUAGCCACUUUAGUCUCAGGGGGUUUAAAAUGUAUCCCAUAAAUACGCCAAGCCUAAAAUCAAUGCAUAUUGUGCUAUAUAUAACAUCUUGUAUUCUAGUCCUUUUAUUAUUUUAUUUUCAGUAACUAAAAAUGUUUUCAAUGUUAACAAAUGUUUCUUUCGCUUUUUAGGGAGAGAGAUAUAAUAGUCAUUGGAAAACACUGAAUACAUUUAAUCUGUUGCAUAGUAUUUAGCAUCUGUUGCAUAUUUAAUGGAAUUUAUAUGACCAGUCAUCCAACAAUAUACAAUUAAUUUUUAUUACACUGUGAUACUUUUUUUAUAUCCAGAUGAUUCUUCAAAUGGAAA